rnacentral:rRNA from 1 species
GAUGAACGCUGGCGGCGUGCCUAAUACAUGCAAGUCGAGCGAACGGACGAGAAGCUCGCUUCUCUGAUGUUAGCGGCGGACGGGUGAGUAACACGUGGAUAACCUACCUAUAAGACUGGGAUAACUUCGGGAAACCGGAGCUAAUACCGGAUGAUAUUUUGAACCGCAUGGUUCAAAAGUGAAAGACGGUCUUGCUGUCACUUAUAGAUGGAUCCGCGCUGCAUUAGCUAGUUGGUAAGGUAACGGCUUACCAAGGCAACGAUGCAUAGCCGACCUGAGAGGGUGAUCGGCCACACUGGAACUGAGACACGGUCCAGACUCCUACGGGAGGCAGCAGUAGGGAAUCUUCCGCAAAGGGCGAAAGCCUGACGGAGCAACGCCGCGUGAGUGAUGAAGGUCUUCGGAUCGUAAAACUCUGUUAUUAGGGAAGAACAUAUGUGUAAGUAACUGUGCACAUCUUGACGGUACCUAAUCAGAAAGCCACGGCUAACUACGUG